rnacentral:tRNA from 1 species
UGGGUUGUGGCUCAGUGGUAGAGCACUCACCUCACAUGUGUGAGGCACUGGGUUCGAUUCUCAGCACCACAU